rnacentral:rRNA from 1 species
GUUUGAUCCUGGCUCAGGACGAACGCUGGCGGCGCGCCUAACACAUGCAAGUCGAACGAGCGAGAGAGAGCUUGCUUUCUCGAGCGAGUGGCGAACGGGUGAGUAACGCGUGAGGAACCUGCCUCAAAGAGGGGGACAACAGUUGGAAACGACUGCUAAUACCGCAUAAGCCCACGGGUCGGCAUCGACCAGAGGGAAAAGGAGCAAUCCGCUUUGAGAUAGCCUCGCGUCCGAUUAGCUAGUUGGUGAGGUAACGGCCCACCAAGGCAACGAUCGGUAGCCGGACUGAGAGGUUGAACGGCCACAUUGGGACUGAGACACGGCCCAGACUCCUACGGGAGGCAGCAGUGGGGAAUAUUGCACAAUGGGGGAAACCCUGAUGCAGCGACGCCGCGUGGAGGAAGAAGGUCUUCGGAUUGUAAACUCCUGUUGUUGAGGAAGAUAAUGACGGUACUCAACAAGGAAGUGACGGCUAACUACGUGCCAGCAGCCGCGGUAAAACGUAGGUCACAAGCGUUGUCCGGAAUUACUGGGUGUAAAGGGAGCGCAGGCGGGAAGACAAGUUGGAAGUGAAAUCCAUGGGCUCAACCCAUGAACUGCUUUCAAAACUGUUUUUCUUGAGUAGUGCAGAGGUAGGCGGAAUUCCCGGUGUAGCGGUGGAAUGCGUAGAUAUCGGGAGGAACACCAGUGGCGAAGGCGGCCUACUGGGCACCAACUGACGCUGAGGCUCGAAAGUGUGGGUAGCAAACAGGAUUAGAUACCCUGGUAGUCCACACCGUAAACGAUGAUUACUAGGUGUUGGAGGAUUGACCCCUUCAGUGCCGCAGUUAACACAAUAAGUAAUCCACCUGGGGAGUACGACCGCAAGGUUGAAACUCAAAGGAAUUGACGGGGGCCCGCACAAGCAGUGGAGUAUGUGGUUUAAUUCGACGCAACGCGAAGAACCUUACCAAGUCUUGACAUCCUGCGACGCACAUAGAAAUAUGUGUUUCCUUCGGGACGCAGAGACAGGUGGUGCAUGGUUGUCGUCAGCUCGUGUCGUGAGAUGUUGGGUUAAGUCCCGCAACGAGCGCAACCCUUAUGGUCAGUUACUACGCAAGAGGACUCUGGCCAGACUGCCGUUGACAAAACGGAGGAAGGUGGGGAUGACGUCAAAUCAUCAUGCCCUUUAUGACUUGGGCUACACACGUACUACAAUGGCGUUAAACAAAGAGAAGCAAGACCGCGAGGUGGAGCAAAACUCAGAAACAACGUCCCAGUUCGGACUGCAGGCUGCAACUCGCCUGCACGAAGUCGGAAUUGCUAGUAAUCGUGGAUCAGCAUGCCACGGUGAAUACGUUCUCGGGCCUUGCACUCACCGCCCGUCA